rnacentral:rRNA from 1 species
UACGUAGGGUCCAAGCGUUGUCCGGAAUUAUUGGGCGUAAAGAGCUCGUAGGCGGCCUGUUGCGUCCGCUGUGAAAUCCCGGGGCUCAACCCCGGGCCUGCAGUGGAUACGGGCUGGCUAGAGGCAGGCAGGGGAGAACGGAAUUCCUGGUGUAGCGGUGAAAUGCGCAGAUAUCAGGAGGAACACCGGUGGCGAAGGCGGUUCUCUGGGCCUGUACUGACGCUGAGGAGCGAAAGCGUGGGGAGCGAACAGG